rnacentral:rRNA from 1 species
UACGGAGGGAGCGAGCGUUGUCCGAAGUUACUGGGCGUAAAGCGCGCGUAGGCGGGUUGGUAAGUCCGCUGUGAAAGCCCGGAGCUCAACUCCGGAGGGUCGGUGGAUACUGCCAGUCUUGAAGGUGCUAGGGGGAGAUGGAAUUACCGGUGUAGCGGUGAAAUGCGUAGAGAUCGGUAGGAACACCAGUGGCGAAGGCGGUCUCCUGGGGCAUUCUUGACGCUGAGGCGCGAAAGCUGGGGGAGCGAACGGG